GUCAGGAUGGCCGUAAGGCGCCAGAUUUAAGCUCUGGUUCUCGAAAGAGAGCGUGGGUUCGAACCCCACUCCUGACA